rnacentral:lncRNA from 1 species
AGCAUAUCAGAUUGACAACUAUCUUGAGGUCCUAUCCCUAGUUCAUAGUUAUAUCUAUCCAAGCAUAUCAGAUUGACAACUAUCUUGAGGUCCUAUCCCUAGUUCAUGGUUAUAUCUAUCCAAGCAUAUCAGAUUGACAACUAUCUUGAGGCCCUAUUCCUAGUUCAUUGUUAUAUCUAUCCAAGCAUAUCAGAUUGACAACUAUCUUGAGGUCCUAUCCCUAUAGUUCAUAGUUAUAUCUAUCAAAGCAUAUCAAAUUGACAACUAUCUUGAGGUCCUAUCCCUAGUUCAUAGUGAUAUCUUUCCAAGUAUAUCAGAUUGACAACAAUCUUGAGGUCCUAUCCCUAGUUCAUGGUUAUAUCUAUCCAAGC